rnacentral:rRNA from 2 species
CACGCAGGCGGUUGGAUAAGUCAGAUGUGAAAGCCCCGGGCUCAACCUGGGAACUGCAUUUGAAACUGUCUGACUAGAGUCUUGUAGAGGGGGGUAGAAUUCCAGGUGUAGCGGUGAAAUGCGUAGAGAUCUGGAGGAAUACCGGUGGCGAAGGCGGCCCCCUGGACAAAGACUGACGCUCAGGUGCGAAAGCGUGGGGAGCAAACA